UUAAUCCUGAGAUGUUCGCUUAGCUUAAAAUAUUCAACCUACAUUGAAUAUACGGGAUUUGUGAUAUCUAGUUGUAUGUCGGGCUUCAGUAAUUCACAAUUUGUGGCGGAAGAAGACAAAAAAUUAGUGAACUUAACCCACCUGCGAGGAGCAGGUAUGAAUAUUUAAGUGACCGGCAUGUUGGGAAUAUA
rnacentral:other from 1 species